rnacentral:rRNA from 1 species
ACUCAAAUGAAUUGACGGGGACCCGCACAAGCGGUGGAGCAUGUGGUUUAAUUCGAUACGACGCGCAGAACCUUACCAAGGCUUGACAUGGAGGGCAAAGUUGAAGAAACUCAAUGGAGGUUAUCCCGACACAGGUGGUGCAUGGUCGUCGUCAGUUCGUGUUGUGAAAUGUAUGCUUAAGUGCUAGAACGAACGCAACCCUCAUAUUCAGUUGCUAUCAUUUAGUUGAGAACUCUGGAUAGACUGCCAAGGUAACUUGGAGGAAGGAAAGGAUGACGUCUGAUCAUCAUGCCCCUUAUGCCUUGGGCUACACACGUGCUACAAUGGUUAGGACAAAGCGUUGCCAACCCGCAAGGGGGAGCCAAUCGCAAAAAACUAACCCAAGUUCGGAUUGGAGUCUGCAACUCGACUCCAUGAAGUAGGAAUCGCUAGUAAUCGUGAAUCAGCAAUGUCACGGUGAAUACGUUCUCGGGUCUUGCACACACCGCCCGU